AACGAACGCUGGCGGCAGGCUUAACACAUGCAAGUCGAGCGCCCCGCAAGGGGAGCGGCAGACGGGUGAGUAACGCGUGGGAAUCUGCCCAUCUCUACGGAAUAACGCAUGGAAACGUGUGCUAAUAACGUAUACGUCCUUCGGGAGAAAGAUUUAUCGGAGAUGGAUGAGCCCGCGUUGGAUUAGCUAGUUGGUGGGGCAAAGGCCUACCAAGGCGACGAUCCAUAGCUGGUCUGAGAGGUUGAUCAGCCACACUGGGACUGAGACACGGCCCAGACUCCUACGGGAGGCAGCAGUGGGGAAUAUUGGACAAUGGGCGCAAGCCUGAUCCAGCCAUGCCGCGUGAGUGAUGAAGGCCCUAGGGUUGUAAAGCUCUUUCACCGGUGAAGAUAAUGACGGUAACCGGAGAAGAAGCCCCGGCUAACUUCGUGCCAGCCGCCGCCGUAAAAC
rnacentral:rRNA from 1 species